rnacentral:tRNA from 1 species
GCCCGAGUGGCGAAAUCGGUAGACGCACGGGACUUAAAAUCCUGUGGCCGCAAGGUCGUGCCGGUUCGAGUCCGGCCUCGGGCACCA